UAGGGAAUCUUCGGCAAUGGGGGGAACCCUGACCGAGCAACGCCGCGUGAGUGAAGAAGGUUUUCGGAUCGUAAAGCUCUGUUGUUAAGGAAGAACGAGUGUGAGAAUGGAAAGUUCAUACUGUGACGGUACUUAACCAGAAAGGGACGGCUAACUACGUGCCAGCAGCCGCGGUAAUACGUAGGUCCCGAGCGUUGUCCGGAUUUAUUGGGCGUAAAGCGAGCGCAGGCGGUUAGAUAAGUCUGAAGUUAAAGGCAGUGGCUCAACCAUUGUAGGCUUUGGAAACUGUUUAACUUGAGUGCAGAAGGGGAGAGUGGAAUUCGAGGUGUAGCGGUGAAAUGCGAAGAUAUAUGGAGAAAAACCGGUGGCGAAAGCGGCUCUCUGGUCUGUAACUGACGCUGAGGCUCGAAAGCGUGGGGAGCGAACAGG
rnacentral:rRNA from 1 species